rnacentral:rRNA from 1 species
CCUACGGGAGGCAGCAGUGAGGAAUAUUGGUCAAUGGCCGGAAGGCUGAACCAGCCAAGCCGCGUGAAGGACGAAGGUGCCAAGCAUUGUAAACUUCUUUUGUCAAGGGACAAAAUCAGGCUCGAGAGCCUGACCGAGGGUACUUGAAGAAAAAGCAUCGGCUAACUCCGUGACAGCAGCCGCGGUAAUACGGAGGAAGCGAGCGUUAUCCGGGUUUAUUGGGUUUAAAGGGUGCGUAGGGGGACUGUUAAGUCAGCGGUAAAAGCCCGGGGCUCAACCCCGGCGAGCCGUUGAAACUGGCUGUCUAGAGAGGUCGAGAGGUAAGCGGAAUGCGCAGUGUAGCGGUGAAAUGCUUAGAUAUUGGGCAGAACUCCGGUUGCGAAGGCAGCAUACCGGCGGCGAUCUGACGCUGAGGCACGAAAGCGUGGGUAUCGAACAGGAUUAGAUACCCGAGUAGUC